CGGGGCGUGGCGCAGUCUGGUAGCGCGCCUGCUUUGGGAGCAGGAAGCCGGGGGUUCGAAUCCCUCCGCCCCGACCA
rnacentral:tRNA from 2 species